GAGAGAGGUGGAGAGAGAGUACCAAGUGGGCUCAGCACUGUUAGUGCAGAGCCACACUUGGAACGUGAUCUCAUCAUGACCUGAGCUGAAAUCAAGAGUCUGAUGUUUAACUGACUGAGCCACCCAGGUGCCGCCUCAUCUUCAGUUUUCUUGAUUCCGCCUCAUUCUCCAAAUACCUCAGAAAUAAUUGGCAGAGAUUCCAUGAACACAUGUGAAGUUCUUUCUAUCCUGAGGACACCAAAACAUAUGUAUGUAGCUAUCUGCUUCAGAUUCCUGGGAUUCAUUUCCUGUAAUGUGAGUUAUUGAAAGUAAAGAUUGAAUUGUUCUGCACCCAGUUUUACACAUAGAACACACUUUUUAAUAUAUUUUUUUUAAAAAAUCAACAUAAUGGAGAGGAAAAGAAGCCUUAUAAUCUUGUUUUAUAAAAAAGAAAGAAGACCACUAUUACUUGCCUUUUUGGCAGGAGCAACACUUCUAUCACACAUGAAUGGUUCUUUUGUUAAGGGAAAAAAAACAACAGAUAAAUCUGGAUGAGACGCUCAAGGUGAGAAAGUCAAGGUCCUUCUGGGCAUAGCCUGAUGGGCAACACUGGAUAAAGGGAAGGCUCGAUUUCUCUAUAAUAAAUAAUGAACAAUGUAUCAGUCUGGGACAUAAGCCUUGGACAUGAGAAGAAGGGAAAAGAUACGAAAAGGGCAAUGGUGCCAGGUGCUGCCCAAGAGCAUGGCAGAGGGCCUGGAACACAACAGAGGAACACAGACAGGGAAGCAAUUCUGAAGCUGCUCUCACGCAAAUCUCAAACUUCCCUGUGUUAGCCCAAGAGGUGAUAUGGAAACGAUAAUAUAGGACAGGGUACUUUGCUUCCAGAGUAAUCUACAAGGGAGCAUGGCACACCAGGCCACCAUAGCCUGGCAUCAAAGGAGUGGAUCCAACACUGUGGACUGCUGGGUGAAGAUUGGGCAGAAGAAUUCAAAGGCACUUGUUUAAGCCAGAGGACCUGGGAGACGCAGCAGUACUAUGGCCCUACUACACUGUCCUAAUAUGCAAGGAAACACACACAGUAGGUUCACUGUGCUCAGACACAUGAAACAAAGCAAAGACUGCUGCCCUAUUCGAUAAAUGUAUCUGAACUGCCUAUGAAAGCAACGCUGCCAGAAUAAACAUUUUGUUUACUACACAGCCCUGCUUACAACUGUCAACAGAGAAAUAUAAAAGGAGAUUUAAGUCUUCAUUCCUAGAUAGUGAACUCCUGUGUGCUUCUACAAUGCAGGUCAUUACAGACUCGGCUGCCCCCUGAGAUGGAGCAAUUCUUGUGCACAUUGUAACAAAAGGCUGCGGGUCUGGCAGCGUGGGAGUGGACUGGGCCACUUAGAUAAGUUUCAUUCACUGUAGGAGCCCAAGGGAACAGUGCAUCAAGGCAGCUGCACCGCCUCAGUUCGUGGUGUAACUUUACACUAUUUUCCCUUUAAGUCGCUACUAAUCCCUUGGGUUUACAUGUUUUUGGGGCUGCAUCAGAGAAAAGCAGUGUGAAAUUGCCUGAAAGCCUCCUUAUAAAUAAGACUUACGAUAUAGACCAGCUCUGUUGAUGAAAAGACUGAGAGAAUGCCCUUGAGGGCCCCAAGAGCCAUUUUACAAGGCUCCCACUGUGAUUUUUUUGGUCUCUAUCUGACUGCUAAAAAGAAAUUACUAAGUAGGUUAAAAAUCUCACCGGCCCAAAAUUCAGUUAGAAAUGAAGCCUUAGCAUUAACAUAAAUCCUGUCUACAUAUUUACUAACCAAUAUUGCUUGUUUAAAUUUCAUAUUCUUUUCUAAAAGAUAUCUUACCCCUUUUGACACACAGGAGAAAGAAAAAAAAAGCAGGAAAUUGGGAUCAGAGAUUAGAACACUAGCCUAAGUUUCCAAGAACUCUGGAUUUGCUUCCUAAAGGAGGUACAAGGCACCAGUAUGGGGCAUUUACAUGCUUCAUCUUCUUAGGUGAAUUCUUUGAAGUAUUAUUGUUCCAUUUUGAAGAUGAGGAAACUGAGGCUAGUAAAGACAAGACCAUUCAUUUAGCAUGGGAGUGUCUUACUUUAAAAUAAUCAUGCUUUUUCUCGUAUUGCUGAUCAGAGAAGCUAGAGGAAGUGUCCCUACUAGCAAAGAGGACAUGGGGAGCCAAUAGAAAAACCCUCUCCCCUCCUUGUUCCCUUGGGUUCUUCAGUAUCACCAGUGGAUCUCUCCUGUUUACUCUUAUGCUUCUGGAAAUUGGUCUGACUUCCUACCCUGCUCCUUUUACGAAAACACUAACUCCUCUUCCUCCUUCCAUUUCCUAACACUCUGUCCUGUCCACCCCACCCUGCCUCCCUUUGGUUUUCCUACUCUCUAAAUCCUCCUACAAAUAGCCAUUUGGAAACAAUUUCAAGAUCCACCUACUUUCCUGUGCAUCUGUCUUUUGUAAUUUAGAGGUUAGGGACUGUGUGUUUUACUUGUCAUGUUUAUGCCUCAUACUCUGUGGGUAUCUAAUAAAUGCUGAAUAAUAGCAGCUUUAAGACAGUGUAGAACCAGAAACACAGGUUCUCAUGUUUAGCAUUUCAUCACCAGCAAGGAACAUUUAUUCACUGUCAGCACUAUGCUGGGCACUAAAAUGAAGUUAAUUACUAUAGCUGGACUCCUCUUGUUGUACACCUUGGCAUUUUACUUUUCUAUCUUAUUGUCUUGACGAAAGGAAGGAAGGAAGGAAGGAAGGAAGGAAGGAAGGA